rnacentral:rRNA from 1 species
GACGUAGGGGGCCAGCGUUGCUCGGAAUUACUGGGUGUAAAGGGUUCGUAGGCGGUGUGGCAAGUCGGGAGUGAAAUCUCUGGGCUCAACUCAGGGGCUGCUUCCGAAACUGCUGUGCUAGAGUGUGGGAGAGGCGCGUGGAAUUGCAGGUGUAGCGGUGAAAUGCGUAGAUAUCUGCAGGAACACCCGUGGCGAAAGCGGCGCGCUGGACCACUACUGACGCUGAGGAACGAAAGCUAGGGGAGCAAACAGG